rfam:Ovis aries breed Texel chromosome 10, whole genome shotgun sequence.
UCCCUGGUGGUUCAGACGGUAAAGCAUCUGUCUACAACACGGGAGACCCAGGUUCGAUCCCUGGGUUGGGAA